GGUGAGUUGGCGGAGAGGCUACGCAGCGGACUGCAAAUCCGUGUACACCGGUUCGAAUCCGGUACUCACCUCCA
rnacentral:tRNA from 2 species